GGAGCAGAGCUGAUGUGGUUGAACAGUUCCUCCCAGACCACAAUGAGUCCAUUUCUUCAGUUCUUGACAAGUUUGGUGCCAUGGGAAUUGACACUCCCGGGGUGGUUGCUUUGCUUGGUAUACACUACUCUACAUCCUUCCAUAAUCCAUCAUCUAAUGUACAUACACAAUAAAUUAUUAUGCAAAUCAUUCAUAAGAAAUAUUUAGCAAAAUUUGGACUUUUUGACCUUAGUGGUCCCUGUAUAUGUAAUAAUUUCCCUUCAUAAUGCAUAUAUAAAUGUAAGUGGGCUCUGUAUGAUGAAUCAGAGAUAAAGAUGUACGAAAGACAUGAAAUUCUAAAGAAAUUACAUGCUUGCUGAUUUAAGUUAUAAUGAUUGAGAUAUUUUGUUGAACAGGAGCACACAGUGUUGGUAGAACACACUGUGUGAAGUUGGUGCACCGUUUGUACCCGGAGAUUGAUUCUGCACUGAACCCUGAGCAUGUCCCUCACAUGCUGAAGAAGUGCCCUGAUGCCAUUCCAGAUCCCAAGGCCGUGCAGUAUGUGAGAAACGACCGUGGCACCCCCAUGAUUCUAGACAACAACUACUACAGAAACAUAUUGGACAACAAGGGGUUGCUGAUAGUGGAUCACCAACUAGCCAAUGACAAGAGGACCAAGCCUUAUGUGAAGAAAAUGGCCAAGAGCCAAGACUAUUUCUUCAAGGAGUUUUCUAGAGCCAUCACCUUGCUCUCUGAAAACAAUCCUCUCACUGGCACUAAGGGAGAGAUCAGAAAGCAGUGCAAUGUUGCCAACAAGCACCGUGAGGAGCCUUGAAAGUUCUUCCGGAAGAAAUCUGUAAAAUAUUAUUAUGCUGUGUUUUAUUUUAAAUGAGUAGGUUGCCUUGUCGGCAGGUUCAUGGGGAUGUCACUGUUGUUAUUUUUAUUUCAAUAAGGAUGUUAUAUUUAGUAGUCUAGUAGAAGUUGGGUAGAAGGAUAUGUUCACUGUGUUAAUUAUGAUAUCAAUGUAUGCACGUGAUUGCUGUCAUCGAUGGCAGUGACAACCAUGUUUAUGGUAUCCGCACUCAGAAGUUUGUUCUUUCUUUCAACAUAAUCAUGGUUUUUACAUUGCUAUCUAUCCUAUUCAAAUAGGCCCCAUGAUAGAGACUAGAUGAAGCAAAAUUUAGGAAUCUAUCAAGUAACAAAUGCAUAGUCUUUUAUUUUGAAUGUAGCUUGGCAAACACAUUAAGCCAAGCAUA
rnacentral:lncRNA from 1 species